rnacentral:rRNA from 1 species
GACGAACGCUGGCGGCGUGCUUAACACAUGCAAGUCGAACGGAAAGGCCCUGCUUUUGUGGGGUGCUCGAGUGGCGAACGGGUGAGUAACACGUGAGUAACCUGCCCUUGACUUUGGGAUAACUUCAGGAAACUGGGGCUAAUACCGGAUAGGAGCUCCUGCUGCAUGGUGGGGGUUGGAAAGUUUCGGCGGUUGGGGAUGGACUCGCGGCUUAUCAGCUUGUUGGUGGGGUAGUGGCUUACCAAGGCUUUGACGGGUAGCCGGCCUGAGAGGGUGACCGGGCAAAUUGGGACUGAGAUACGGCCCAGACUCCUAAGGGAGGCAGCAGUGGGGAAUAUUGCACAAUGGGCGGAAGCCUGAUGCAGCAACGCCGCGUGCGGGAUGACGGCCUUCGGGUUGUAAACCGCUUUCGCCUGUGACGAAGCGUGAGUGACGGUAAUGGGUAAAGAAGCACCGGCUAACUACGUG